rnacentral:pre_miRNA from 1 species
AAAGUACUCCCUCCGUCCCAAAAUUCUUGUCUUAGAUUUGUCUAGAUACGGAUGUAUCAAGUCACAUUUUAGUANCGGAUGUAUCAAGUCACAUUUUAGUAUUAGAUACAUCCGUAUCUAGACAAAUCUAAGACAAGAAAUUUGGGACAGAGGGAGUAGUUG